GGAUGUGACAGUGAUCUCGCUGCAACAUCUGUCACCCCGUUGAUUGCCAGGGUUGAUUUGACUGGUCCAGCUGGAUAGGCGGGUGUCUCCUUUCUCCCUCACUGCUCCAUGUGCAUCUCUCUUGAAGCUGCGCACUGGUCGAAGAGGAUGACCAUCACCCAUAGAGAAGUACGGUCUUCGGUCAAGGAUAUAUGAGAAGAUGCAUUCCCCUGCUAGAACCUCCAAACAAGCUCUCAAGGUUCAUUUGCAGGAGAAUGUAGAAUAAUCAAGCUUCCAAGACUCCUGACACUUCCAAAUGAGGUGCUGCAUGUGGCAGUCUGCCUUUCUUU
ensembl:misc_RNA 7SK 7SK RNA